rnacentral:rRNA from 1 species
UACGGGGGGAGCAAGCGUUGUUCGGAUUUACUGGGCGUAAAGGGCGCGUAGGCGGUCGUGACAAGUCACUUGUGAAAUCUCCGGGCUUAACUCGGAACGGUCAAGUGAUACUGUCGGACUAGAGUACAGAAGGGGCAACUGGAAUUCUCGGUGUAGCGGUGAAAUGCGUAGAUAUCGAGAGGAACACCUGCGGCGAAGGCGGGUUGCUGGGCUGAUACUGACCCUGAUGCGCGAAAGCCAGGGGAGCGAACGGG